rnacentral:rRNA from 1 species
UACGUAGGGUGCAAGCGUUGUCCGGAAUUAUUGGGCGUAAAGAGCUCGUAGGCGGUUUGUCGCGUCGGCUGUGAAAACCUGCAGCUUAACUGUGGGCCUGCGGCCGAUACUGGCGGGCUUGAAUCCGGGAGAGGAUGUGGAAUUCCAGGUGUAGCGGUGAAAUGCGUAGAUAUCUGGAGGAACACCGGUGGCGAAGGCGGCAUCCUGGACCGGUAUUGACGCUGAGGCGCGAAAGCUAGGGGAGCAAACGGG